rnacentral:rRNA from 1 species
GGGGAAUCUUGCGCAAUGGCCGAAAGGCUGACGCAGCGACGCCGCGUGGGGGAGGAAGGCCUUCGGGUUGUAAACCCCUGUUGCCCGGGACGAAUGCGCUCUAUUGGGGGCGUUGACGGUACCGGGUGAGGAAGCACCGGCUAACUCCGUGCCAGCAGCCGCGGUAAUACGGAGGGUGCGAGCGUUGUCCGGAAUCACUGGGCGUAAAGGGCGCGUAGGCGGCUCAUGAAGGCUGUGGUGAAAGUCCGAGGCUCAACCUCGGAUCGGCCGUGGCGACUCGUGGGCUGGAGCACUGUAGAGGCGGGUGGAAUUCCGGGUGUAGCGGUGGAGUGCGUAGAGAUCCGGAAGAACACCAGUGGCGAAGGCGGCCCGCUGGGCAGUGGCUGACGCUGAAGCGCGACAGCGUGGGGAGCAAAC